rnacentral:rRNA from 1 species
GUGCAGCAGUCGCGAAAACUUCACACUGUGCGAAAGCACGAUGAGGGAAUCCCAAGUGCUUGCACGUAAGUGUAAGCUGUUUCUCUGUCUAAAACGCAGAGAGAGUAAGGGCUGGGUAAGACGGGUGCCAGCCGGCCGCGGUAAUACCUGCAGCUCAAGUGGUGACCGUUAUUAUUGGGGCCUAAAACGUCCGUAGCCGGUUUAAUAAAUGCCUGGGUAAAUUGUGUAGCUUAACUAUACGAAUUCCGGGUAGACUGUUAAACUUGAGACCGGGAGAAGUUAGAGGUACUCCUGGGGUAGAGGUGAAAUUCUGUAAUCCUAGGGGGACCACCAGUGGCGAAGGCGUCUAACUAGAACGGGUCUGACGGUGAGGGACGAAGCCCUGGGGCGCAAACGGGGAUUAGAUACCCGUGUAGU